GACGAACGCUGGCGGCGUGCUUAACACAUGCAAGUCGAACGCAGUGGCGAACGGGUGAGUAACGCGUAAUCAACCUGCCCUUCAGCGGGGGACAACAGUUGGAAACGACUGCUAAUACCCCAUACUGUAGGAGGGGAUUGCGUGUGAUUAGCUAGUUGGAGGGGUAACGGCCCACCAAGGCGCGGGUAAGUAGCCGGGUUGAGAGGAUGAACGGCCACAUGGGGACUGAGACACGGCCCAGACUCCUACGGGAGGCAGCAGUGGGGAAUCUUCCGCAAUGGACGAAAGUCUGACGGAGUAACGCCGCGGGAGUGAUGACGGCCUUCGGGUUGUAAAGCUCUGUUAAUCGGGACGCGGUACCGGAAUAGAAAGCCACGGCUAACUACGUGCCAGCAGCCGCGGUAAUUC
rnacentral:rRNA from 1 species